AUUGAACGCUGGCGGCAGGCUUAACACAUGCAAGUCGAGCGGUAGCACAGGGGAGCUUGCUCCCUGGGUGACGAGCGGCGGACGGGUGAGUAAUGUCUGGGAAACUGCCUGAUGGAGGGGGAUAACUACUGGAAACGGUAGCUAAUACCGCAUAACGUCGCAAGACCAAAGAGGGGGACCUUCGGGCCUCUUGCCAUCAGAUGUGCCCAGAUGGGAUUAGCUAGUAGGUGGGGUAAUGGCUCACCUAGGCGACGAUCCCUAGCUGGUCUGAGAGGAUGACCAGCCACACUGGAACUGAGACACGGUCCAGACUCCUACGGGAGGCAGCAGUGGGGAAUAUUGCACAAUGGGCGCAAGCCUGAUGCAGCCAUGCCGCAUGUGUGAAGAAGGCCUUCGGGUUGUAAAGCACUUUCAGCGAGGAGGAAGGUGGUGAGCUUAAUACGUUCAUCAAUUGACGUUACUCGCAGAAGAAGCACCGGCUAACUCCGUG
rnacentral:rRNA from 1 species